rnacentral:rRNA from 1 species
GACGUAGGGGGCGAGCGUUGUCCGGAUUUAUUGGGCGUAAAGCGCGCGUAGGCGGCUCGGAUAGUCGGAUGUGAAAACCCAGGGCUCAACCCUGGGCCUGCACCCGAUACUCCCGGGCUAGAGGCAGGUAGGGGAGAGUGGAAUUCCCGGUGUAGCGGUGAAAUGCGCAGAUAUCGGGAGGAACACCAGUGGCGAAGGCGGCUCUCUGGGCCUGUCCUGACGCUCAGGCGCGAAAGCUAGGGGAGCAAACAGG